rfam:Schistosoma curassoni strain Dakar, Senegal genome assembly, scaffold: SCTD_scaffold0014847
GCACUACUGAGGAGUCCCAUACUAGGACGAAACGGCCGUCCAAUGC